UGCGACGCCGGCCUCGGCUCCGCGCAGCUGCCGGGAUCCAGGGGAGACGGCGCGUGACCCGCCGGGGCCGAAGCGGGGGCGGACGCUAGCUUCUCGGCCCCUUCCGCCGGGAGCGGCCGGCCCGGCUGGGCCGAGCCGGCGCCUGGCGAGCGGCUGCAUCCCGGCGGCCCGUCCUUGGCGCGAUCCGACCGGACGGCCGGGGGCGGGGCUGCCAGAUCCCUGCCGGGCGAGCCCCGGGCAGUGCCAAGCGCAGUUUUCGGCCGUCGCAAGACACGUGUGAGGUCAUGGAUUAUUUGAGAAGAGGGUCCCCCCAGUGAACAACACACACUGUCCUAGACUCCCAGCCUGGCACGAGCUGUUGUCAGUCCUGCAAGGACCGUCCCUUUUCCAUGACAAGAUGCCUUUGGGGUGUCCUCUUUGCUCUGCGGUCUGCCACCAACGCGAGAGGAUCUCCUGCAGAUCUUGGGGUUUCUAGAAGUUUCGAAAACAGGUGUUUUGUCUCUGAGCUCUGUCCCUGUUGCUGUGUGGAAAUAUCAUUUAUUAAUUUCCAACUCUGGAAAAUAUUGUGAAAGGGAAGGAGGUGACUCUUUGUCCCGUCCUCUUUCUCGAUGACUGGAAUUCAGAUGUGAUGACUGGAGCUCAGGCAGCUACAUUGGGCCACGAGGUAGAAGCUAUCUGACAGAGAAUGGCAGAGCUACAAGUUAAAAGGAGUUUGGGUCUCAUGACUGUGGAGCCACAUAGCAGCCCUGAACUGCCAGCCUUCAGAUUUCUCUCUCUCUCUCUCUCUCUCAUACAUUAAAAAACCAUAUCUUUCGCUUAAGUGAUAUACUAAAGGCAUUUGCUUUCCAUGCUCAAGGACUGUUAACAUUUCCAAAAGAAACAUCACAGGCAUUGCAGGACUGUGGGAGAUUUUGACAAUUUCUUUUUCUUCUUUAUUAUUUUCGACAUAAAAAUGAAACUAGUGUUUUAAAAACCUUUUGAUUAUUGGGGACCCUGGGUGGCACAGCAGUUAAGCAUCUGCCUUCGGCUCAGGGCGUGAUCCUGGCGUUAUGGGAUCGCGUUAUGGGAUCGAGCCCCACAUCAGGCUCUUCCGCUAUGAGCCUGCUUCUUCCUCUCCCACUCCCCCUGCUUGUGUUCCCUCUCUCGCUGGCUAUCUCUAUCUCUGUCGAAUAAAUAAGUAAAAUCUUAAAAAAAAAAAAAAAAAACCAAACCUUUUGAUUAUUUAUCUUGGGAGUCAGUUUUCCUUCAGUCUAUACAAAGAACACAAGAUACCAAAUUA
rnacentral:lncRNA from 1 species